GUAAAGGUCAGCUUAGGCUGCAGUGUGAGAAUAGUCUCAGAAAGAACCACCACUACCAUUACCUCCAUGUCAGAAAUGGACCAACAAGAAGCAGGAGUACGAUUGCUGACUGACAGCUGUCGCUUGUUGGAGAGCCUGCUUCUUUGUUUAGCAGUAGUGAAAGUCGUCCUGUUGAUGUGGUGAUCAGUGGAAGGAGAACUAAUGGAAGUCUCUUUAAACUUUAAAAAAAAAAAAAGGAUUCUGAAGGUGACACCCCUCUCCAUGAUGCCAUAAGUAAGAAACGGGAUGACAUUCUGGCAGUUCUUCUGGAAGCUGGAGCAGAUGUGACCAUCACGAACAAUAACGGGUUCAAUGCCCUGCACCAUGCUGCACUGAGAGGGAACCCCAGGUAAUGGUCCUCCUUUAUUGUUUUAGGUGCUACUUAAAGAUGGUUUCCUGUUGCCUGUGGUAGUCAUUUUCCUGAAUGCCUUCAUUCAUUAGGUACAUGUUGCUCCAGUAUAAAUAUUGGGAAGUAGUCUAUUGAAUGUAGAUAUAAAAUACUUAAAGAUUUUAAUCAAACGUGCCUUAAGAUUUUUUGCUUCUUCAACAUCCUUCUCAAGUUGUCUUCUAAUCUCACAUAUUAUCCAUUUACAUGAUGUCAGGUAUUUAUGAUCAAUUGUGUUAUUUAGAUAUGUGAUACCAAGGAGCCUUAAUUAUAUUCUAGUAAUGGGUGUUCUACAAGAAUAAAAGGGAUUGCUGGUUAAAAUUUGAGAGGGCUGCUUUUGGAGACAAGUACAAAUGAUAAGGUUUUCAUAAACAACUUGUAUCUCCUUAUAGUUAGGUAAAGCACUAUAAUAUAUUGACUAAGAAAACUAAUCACUUUGAUGUUUGCUUUAUCUAUUGUGACAUUUUUUAAAGAUUUAUUUUUUUUAUGUAUAUGAGUAUUAUACAUAAAAUGUCUGUCUUCAGACACCAGAAGAGGGCAUUGGAUUCCCAUCACAGAUGGCUGUGAAGACACCAUAUUAUGCUGGGAAUUGAACUCGGGAUCUCUGGAGGAGCAGUCAGUGCUCUUAACUGCUGAGCCAUCUCUCCAGCUAUUGUGAAUACUUAUUCUUUGGAAUUCCAUAAUAUGUGUGUGGGUUUCUUUUUAAAUUCUUUGGAUAGUUUUACAUGUUCAUCGCUCAUUAAUGUAUUUUAUAUCAUAUUUCAAUUUUCUCUUUUGCUGUGUUUAAAAUUUCUUAGGAUGACCACUUGAGGGUAGUUACAGAAGACAACAGGGUUUUUUGGGACUGCUGUUUUCGGUGCUUCAAUGCCAUUUUGUCCAGUACACACUGAAUUGUUUUCAGAUGACAGAUAUUUGAACUCUUCAUACAUUUGCAUUGUAAAGGAGCUAGUAAUUAUCAUGUCUCCAGCCUUAAGACAGAUGACAACAAUGAUAAGCCUCUUCUCAGCGCAUCGUGUACAUCGUCUCAGUUCUUUUAAAAGCUGAAGUUUUAAGGCCUUAAGUUGGUGUUUUGCUAGCACUGUUGGUGAUUGUAUUUAGGCAGCUUUGAAGCACUGUGCCAUCAAGUUGUGGUCCCAGCCCUCUGACUAGCUUCUGGUUGAGUGUGAGAGCCUCAUUUUAUUUAUAUGCCUGGGGUUGCAUUCAAGCCCAUUUCUUUUUCUUUUUUAGGAUAGUUUUAUUGUGUAGCUCAAGUGGUCCUGGAGCUGUCUGUCAUCUUCCUGCCUCAGUCUUUAGUGCUGGGGUUAUGGGCUGAGUGUCUAGAGCCCCUCUCUGACUUUUCUCCCACUAAUUAAAUCUUCCAGCCUCCCUUGCCCUGUAGUUGUGUUACCGUCUAAAGUGGCUGUCUUCUCUCUUCCUCCCGGCUCUUAAACGUUUUCUUCCAUGACCGUGUUGUCUUAGCCACCUUUCCUUUCUUCCCACCUGCAACUGCCUCCUCCUCUCUGAUAGAGUUCUGUUGUGUUUGUUACUCACAUGUGUGGCCUGCUUAGUGCGGUCUGUUAACUGUGUACAUUUCCAUAUUCCUUUUCCAUGAGGACUAGAGAUGUUCAUAUUCAUGUGUAUGUCUUCCACAUUUAUACAGUAGACAUUCAAAUUAGUCUUAACAGUAAAGACACCACAAGAUUUCAAGAAGAUAAUGUAUAAUUAAUUACAGAAUUCUUUGUAAUUCUUGGAUUUUUCAGAAAAUAAUGCUAACAGUGACUCCUUCAACCAGCUACUUUGUGUUAGAUGACAUU
rnacentral:lncRNA from 1 species